rnacentral:rRNA from 1 species
GAGCGGAAGGCCCUUCGGGGUACUCGAGCGGCGAACGGGUGAGUAACACGUGAGCAACCUGCCCUAGGCUUUGGGAUAACCCCGGGAAACCGGGGCUAAUACCGAAUAGGACCUCUGACCGCAUGGUUGGUGGUGGAAAGUUUUUCGGCCUGGGAUGGGCUCGCGGCCUAUCAGCUUGUUGGUGGGGUGAUGGCCUACCAAGGCGACGACGGGUAGCCGGCCUGAGAGGGCGACCGGCCACACUGGGACUGAGACACGGCCCAGACUCCUACGGGAGGCAGCAGUGGGGAAUAUUGCACAAUGGGCGGAAGCCUGAUGCAGCGACGCCGCGUGAGGGAUGACGGCCUUCGGGUUGUAAACCUCUUUCAGCAGGGACGAAGCGUAAGUGACGGUACCUGCAGAAGAAGCACCGGCCAACUACGUGCCAGCAGCCGCGGUAAGACGUAGGGUGCGAGCGUUGUCCGGAUUUAUUGGGCGUAAAGAGCUCGUAGGCGGCUUGUCGCGUCGACUGUGAAAACCCGCAGCUCAACUGCGGGCCUGCAGUCGAUACGGGCAGGCUAGAGUUCGGUAGGGGAGACUGGAAUUCCUGGUGUAGCGGUGAAAUGCGCAGAUAUCAGGAGGAACACCGGUGGCGAAGGCGGGUCUCUGGGCCGAUACUGACGCUGAGGAGCGAAAGCGUGGGGAGCGAACAGGAUUAGAUACCCUGGUAGUCCACGCUGUAAACGUUGGGCGCUAGGUGUGGGGGGCCUCUCCGGUUCCCUGUGCCGCAGCUAACGCAUUA